CAAAAAUGACAUGAACGACGCAAAACUAUAUUUGGUGAGAGUAAAUGUUAUGAGAAAGCCUCUUUUUUUUUAAAAAAAAGGAAGAUGGUAUGAAAAUUUGCGUAUCCUGAUCAUUUCCACGCUUUCUUCCCGCGAAACUGUUUGCCAGAGCGGCUCUGUUUUCUCUUUUUGUCUUGCCGUGAUCUAGCUGCCCUGGCUCUCUUUGCAGCUGAGGGCAUCACCUUUUCCUGUUGCUUCUGUCUAUUACUCUUACCUCCAGUCUUUUUCUGUUUUACAGCAGUUCGAGCUUGGUACUUUCCUGUAGCCUCCCUGCCUGCUCUUACCAGUGCCAACCUUUCUUCCUUGGUUAGCUUCUUCCGCACAUGAGCUUCAAGCUUAGCAGGAUCCAGCCGUUUAACACUCAGUUGAUCAGAGCUUGGAACUUUAAACCCUUGUCGAGCUAAGGCAAUUUUAGUUUCCUUCUUUGCCUUCAAUUCCUUGAUCCUUUGAAAGUCUUCAUUAGAAAGAAUACCGUCUUUCAAUUCUGUGGUGGUGUGAUUCAACUUUUCUUCUGCCAAUCUCUUUAGAGCUCGAAGACUUGUGUCAGCAGCAAUAAGUUGUCCAUUGAAAUCAGAAAACUUCCUCUUACUAGCUUUAGAUUUGUUAACUUCUAUCGUGCCCCUGUCAUCACUUUCACAAGAACUCUUUGCCUUUCCAUGCUCAUCCUCCUCCUCCUCAUCAUCAUCGUCAUCGUCAUCGCUGAUAUUGCUGUCAUUUUCAUCAAUAUUGUUAUCACCAUCUCCAUCAAUUGAAUCAUCUUGUAAACCGUCAUUCUCACUUCCAGUAUCAUCACUGUACAUCGGAUUUUCUUCAUCAUCACUGGCAGUAAUCAUCUCACCAUUAUCACUAUCAUCAUCAAGUGCACUGGAUAUCAAAUUAUCAAUAUCAUCACCAUCCUCAUUAAUUUCAUUGUGGUCCUCCUCCUCAACAUCAUCAUCUUCAUCAUCAUCAUCCUCCUCCUCCUCCUGUAAUAACUCAAGGUCAGGUAUAUUGCUGACAACAUCAACUUCCCCAUAUGCUUUUGGCUUUGCCUUUGGAUCGCUAGGACGACCUCGAUCCUUCUUAACCAAUAGUGAAGGACAAACCUCUCUAAAUAAAAUCAUGAGUGACCUAGCUGCAACUGAAACUGCCUUCUCAUGUGAUUUUUUAUACAAUACAAGAUCUUGCAGCAAAUCUUCUGUCAUCAACAGAGGCAUUCGCAAACAUAUUUCCCUUAUCACAUUG
rnacentral:misc_RNA from 1 species